CCUUCUUGACUUUUGAUUGACAUGAAUCUUGAGAGAUUACAGACCCAAGGUAGUUGUUCCUUGAAAGGAAUCGUAAACUGAUUCUCUCCAAGAAUAAGGCGAAGUUUUCGUUGAUUUUCCUUGACUUGUGGCUUUAAUAGACUUUCUCCCGCUAAACAAAUCUGUCUGCUAUUUGAGUAAUCAAAGUUGUAUCUCUUGAUUCUGGGCUUCAACGGCCUGCAUUUGAUAGAAGAAUCUCUAGUGCAGAGCUUCGCAAUCUCGUUUUCCUUUAAUUUGGGAUCUUCCUAUAAUGUCCUCCAUCAAUCUACUAUAAAAUCAUUGAUUGAUUCAUUCUUCUUUCUGCUUUUCUACUUCUUCCUUUUUCGUCUCUAAUCAUUGAUACUUUUCCUUUCCUUUGUUUCUGGAAUUUCCAUCAUUCUCCUUCCUUACUUGCUUUUGUUGACUGAUUUUCCCUUAAUUCUUUUACUUGUUGCUGUACUUGAAUGAUCGAGCAUCUUGAGUCCGUUGUUUUGUCCCUUGUGAUCAUGCACCAAUAGUAAUAUGUUAUUUU
rnacentral:lncRNA from 1 species